rnacentral:rRNA from 1 species
CAAUAGCGUAUAUUUAAGUUGUUGCAGUUAAAAAGUUCGUAGUCGGAUUUUGGCUGAGAACGAACGGUCCGCCGUUAGGUGUGCACUGUUUGGUCUCAGCUUCCUGGUGAGGAGGUGUGCUUCACGGCCACUUAGUCACCGUGGUUACUUUGAAAAAAUUAGAGUGUUCAAAGCGGGCUUACGCUUGAAUAUAUUAGCAUGGAAUAACACCAUAGGACUCCUGUCCUAUUUCGUUGGUCUCGGGACGGGAGUAAUGAUUAAGAGGAACAGUUGGGGGCAUUCGUAUUUCAUUGUCAGAGGUGAAAUUCUUGGAUUUAUGAAAGACGAACUUCUGCGAAAGCAUUUGCCAAGGAUGUUUUCAUUG